ensembl:lncRNA
CUUGGACUCCCUCUCUGUCCUUCCACUCCAGACCUGCGCAAUCCUUGAACAUUUUCCAUGUUCUCUUCCCUCCUCCAGAGGGAGGAGGGUAUAUGCCAAAGCCAGAGCCUCGUCCCUCUCAUCUGUCCUCAUUCUCCUCAACCUGUCAGCGGCAUUUGCCAUCGUGAACCACCAGAUCCUCCUGCCAUUCUCGCCGUACUUGGCAUUGCUGAAUCUGCCCUAUCCUGGUUCACAUCCUACCUGAAGAAUCGCAUCAGGUAACAUGGAAUGGCUCCUUGUCAUAACCCUGCACUCUUGACACUGGUGUCCCUCAAGGCUCUGUACUGGGACCCCCUCUGUUCUCCCUCUAUACCAUCACAUCACAGUUUUUCCUAUCACUGCUACGCUGACGACACUCAGCUAUUCCUAUUUCCCUUACUCUGACCCUGAUUGCAACAUGGAAAGCGGAAUGUCUGGCAGACAUCAGCACUUGGAUGACUGUCAAUCACCUGAGGCUUAACCUCAACAAGUCUGAGCUACUCCUAAUGCCAGGGAAAGAUUGCCCACACAUGGACUUACUGUCACUGUCGAGAACAUUACUGCAUCUCCUUCUCUAACUGCCAGAAACCUCGGUGUGGUACUGGACAUUCAGUUAUGCUGCACCGCAAACAUCACCGCAGUGGCCCGAUCCUGCAGAUUUGCCCUUUACAACAUCCGCAGGAUCCGGCCCUUCCUCACGAGGAAAGCAGCUCAGCUCCUGGUCGAAGCGCUCAUCAUCUCCUGCCGCGACUACUGCAACUCGCUCCUGGCUGAACACCCUGCCUCCAAGAUUAAACCUUUGCAGCGUAUCCAGAACGCUGCAGCGCGCCUCGUGUUCAACCUACCCAAGUCCUCCCAUUUGACCCCCCCCUCUUCCAGGAACUUCACUGGCUUCCUGUAGUAACUCGCAGAUUCAAGAUGAUGGUACUGGCAUACAAGGUGGUCAAUGGAACUGGCCCUGCCUACCUCCAAGCGUUGGUCAAACCACAUCGCAGCUCGGGCGCUCCACUCAAGCUACCUCAGUCGGCUACCGCCAUUGCUAACAGCAAGCAAAGGUCGAUCAUCAAAGUCCCAACUCUUCUCUGUUUUGGCACCGCUGUGGUGGAACGAGAUCCCUGCCGAUGUCAGGACCGCAGAGUCGCUCACCAGCUUCCGCAAAAGACUCAAAACUCACCUGUUCAGAGUUCACCUAGACCUAUGCGAUAUUUAUUCAUAGUACUUAAUUGUGUAGCAUCUAAGUCACCUGGUGUCGACUAAGAUUGAACAAACAAACAUCGGUUGAGACUAACGUCGGUUCAGACUAACGCCGGUUCAGACUAACGCCGGUUCAGACUAACGCCGGUUCAGACUAACGCCGGUUCAGACUAACGCCGGUUCAGACUAACGCCGGUUCAGACUUGUGUCUCUGGUCCCUUUUGUUCAAUAGUCUUAGAGAACGUUUGACCUAAAGCCGUGUGUAGUGGUGGAGGAGCUCCAUCAGAACGUGAACCUUGGGCCUCACCGUGUUCCAGCAGACUGCCGGCUGCCUUGGGGCCCUCAGCCUCCAGCAGACAGCCGGUUGCCUUGGGGCCCUCAGCCUCCAGCAGAGAGCCGGUUGCCUUGGGGCCCUCAGCCUCCAGCAGACAGGUCUCUGCCUUGGGGCCCUCAGCCUCCAGCAGAGAGCCGGUUGCCUUGGGGCCCUCAGCCUCCCGCAGAGAGCCGGCUGCCUUGGGGCCCUCAGCCUCCAGCAGACAGGUCUCUGCCUUGGGGCCCUCAGCUUCCAGCAGACAGGUUUCUGCCUUGGGGCCCUCAGCCUCCAGCAGAGAGCCGGUUGCCUUGGGGCCCUCAGCCUCCAGCAGAGAGCCGGUUGCCUUGGGGCCCUCAGCCUCCAGCAGAGAGCCGGUUGCCUUGGGGCCCUCAGCCUCCAGCAGAGAGCCGGCUGCCUUGGGGCCCUCAGCCUCCAGCAGGGCGAACUCCGCCCUGAGCCCGUUGGGGAGGGCUGCUGGCCCCGCCCCCUGCCCCCCCUGGUCGGCAACCUUCCCCUGGGGGGUGAGGUCCAGGAGUGGGCUCAGAGGAUGGUCCUCCCAGGAGGGCGGGGGCAGGCUUUCCCCUGUUGGGGGGCUGGGCGACUGCGCCUCCUUCAGAGUCUCAGGCACUUCCUGCAUGCCUGCCUGGGGGGUCCCCACGCCCCCUACUGCCUGAUGCUGCUCGGCGGCGGCCAUUUUAUCCUCUGGAUCCUCCCCCUGUACCUCCUCUCCCUCCUUGCUGCUCUCCCACGCUGCUGCUGGGGCCGCUGGCUCUCGGGGCGGACCACGUGGUCUGGGGGGUCUGGGGUCCACUUGGGGUCUGGGGUACACUUGGGGUCUGGGGUCCACUGGGG